UACGUAGGGUGCAAGCGUUAAUCGGAAUUACUGGGCGUAAAGCGUGCGCAGGCGGUUUUUGUAAGUCUGUCGUGAAAUCCCCGGGCUCAACCUGGGAAUUGCGAUGGAGACUGCAAGGCUAGAAUCUGGCAGAGGGGGGGUAGAAUUCCACGUGUAGCAGUGAAAUGCGUAGAGAUGUGGAGGAACACCGAUGGCGAAGGCAGCCCCCUGGGUCAAGAUUGACGCUCAUGCACGAAAGGCGUGGGGAGCAAACAGG
rnacentral:rRNA from 1 species